rnacentral:rRNA from 1 species
ACACGUAGGGGGCGAGCGUUGUCCGGAAUUACUGGGUGUAAAGGGUGCGUAGGCGGCUGAACAAGUCAGGUGUGAAAACCAUCGGCUCAACUGAUGGAUUGCACUUGAAACUGUGCAGCUUGAGUGAAGCAGAGGCAGGCGGAAUUCCCGGUGUAGCGGUGAAAUGCGUAGAGAUCGGGAGGAACACCAGUGGCGAAGGCGGCCUGCUGGGCUUUAACUGACGCUGAGGCACGAAGGCAUGGGUAGCAAACAGGAUUAUAUACCCUGGUAGUCCAUGCCGUAAACGAUGAUUACUAGGUGUGGGUGGUCUGACCCCAUCCGUGCCGGAGUUAACACAAUAAGUAAUCCACCUGGGGAGUACGGCCGCAAGGUUGAA